AUGAACGCUGGCGGCGUGCCUCAUACAUGCAAGUCGCGCGAACGGACGAGAAGCUUGCUUCUCUGAUGUUGGCGGCGGACGGGUGAGUAACACGUGGAUAACCUACCUAUAAGACUGGGAUGACUUCGGGAAACCGGAGCUAAUACCGGAUAAUAUUUUGAACCGCAUGGUUCAAAAGUGAAAGACGGUCUUGCUGUCACUUAUAGAUGGAUCCGCGCUGCAUUAGCUAGUUGGUAAGGUAACGGCUUACCAAGGCAACGAUGCAUAGCCGACCUGAGAGGGUGAUCGGCCACACUGGAACUGAGGCACGGUCCAGACUCCUACGGGAGGCAGCAGUAGGGAAUCUUCCGCAAUGGGCGAAAGCCUGACGGAGCAACGCCGCGUGAGUGAUGAAGGUCUUCGGAUCGUAAAACUCUGUUAUUAGGGAAGAACAUAUGUGUAAGUAACUGUGCACAUCUUGACGGUACCUAAUCAGAAAGCCACGGCUAACUACGUG
rnacentral:rRNA from 1 species